rnacentral:rRNA from 1 species
GAUGAACGCUGGCGGCGUGCCUAAUACAUGCAAGUCGAGCGAACAGACGAGGAGCUUGCUCCUCUGACGUUAGCGGCGGACGGGUGAGUAACACGUGGAUAACCUACCUAUAAGACUGGGAUAACUUCGGGAAACCGGAGCUAAUACCGGAUAAUAUAUUGAACCGCAUGGUUCAAUAGUGAAAGACGGUUUUGCCGUCACUUAUAGAUGUAUCCGCGCCGCAUUAGCUAGUUGGUAAGGUAACGGCUUACCAAGGCGACGAUGCGUAGCCGACCUGAGAGGGUGAUCGGCCACACUGGAACUGAGACACGGUCCAGACUCCUACGGGAGGCAGCAGUAGGGAAUCUUCCGCAAUGGGCGAAAGCCUGACGGAGCAACGCCGCGUGAGUGAUGAAGGUCUUCGGAUCGUAAAACUCUGUUAUUAGGGAAGAACAAAUGUGUAAGUAACUAUGCACGUCUUGACGGUACCUAAUCAGAAAGCCACGGCUAACUACGUG